rnacentral:tRNA from 1 species
GCCUUCAUGGUGUGGCGGUAGCACACUCAGUGCACAUUCAGAAGGUCCAGGUUCAAAUCCUGGCGAGGACA